rnacentral:rRNA from 1 species
GUCUAUGGCCCUACCACCCUGAACGCGCCCGAUCUCGUCUGAUCUCGGAAGCUAAGCAGGGUCGGGCCUGGUUAGUACUUGGGUGGGAGAAUCACUUUAGUAAGUCUUUAUUCACC